rnacentral:rRNA from 2 species
GGGGGGACGGAGAAGGCUAUGUUGGCCGGGCGACGGUUGUCCCGGUUUAAGCGUGUAGGCUGGUUUUCCAGGCAAAUCCGGAAAAUCAAGGCUGAGGCGUGAUGACGAGGCACUACGGUGCUGAAGCAACAAAUGCCCUGCUUCCAGGAAAAGCCUCUAAGCAUCAGGUAACAUCAAAUCGUACCCCAAACCGACACAGGUGGUCAGGUAGAGAAUACCAAGGCGCUUGAGAGAACUCGGGUGAAGGAACUAGGCAAAAUGGUGCCGUAACUUCGGGAGAAGGCACGCUGAUAUGUAGGUGAAGUCCCUUGCGGAUGGAGCUGAAAUCAGUCGAAGAUACCAGCUGGCUGCAACUGUUUAUUAAAAACACAGCACUGUGCAAACACGAAAGUGGACGUAUACGGUGUGACGCCUGCCCGGUGCCGGAAGGUUAAUUGAUGGGGUCAGCGCAAGCGAAGCUCUUGAUCGAAGCCCCGGUAAACGGCGGCCGUAACUAUAACGGUCCUAAGGUAGCGAAAUUCCUUGUCGGGUAAGUUCCGACCUGCACGAAUGGCGUAAUGAUGGCCAGGCUGUCUCCACCCGAGACUCAGUGAAAUUGAACUCGCUGUGAAGAUGCAGUGUACCCGCGGCAAGACGGAAAGACCCCGUGAACCUUUACUAUAGCUUGACACUGAACAUUGAGCCUUGAUGUGUAGGAUAGGUGGGAGGCUUUGAAGUGUGGACGCCAGUCUGCAUGGAGCCGGCCUUGAAAUACCACCCUUUAAUGUUUGAUGUUCUAACGUGGACCCGUGAUCCGGGUUGCGGACAGUGUCUGGUGGGUAGUUUGACUGGGGCGGUCUCCUCCUAAAGAGUAACGGAGGAGCACGAAGGUUGGCUAAUCCUGGUCGGACAUCAGGAGGUUAGUGCAAUGGCAUAAGCCAGCUUGACUGCGAGCGUGACGGCGCGAGCAGGUGCGAAAGCAGGUCAUAGUGAUCCGGUGGUUCUGAAUGGAAGGGCCAUCGCUCAACGGAUAAAAGGUACUCCGGGGAUAACAGGCUGAUACCGCCCAAGAGUUCAUAUCGACGGCGGUGUUUGGCACCUCGAUGUCGGCUCAUCACAUCCUGGGGCUGAAGUAGGUCCCAAGGGUAUGGCUGUUCGCCAUUUAAAGUGGUACGCGAGCUGGGUUUAGAACGUCGUGAGACAGUUCGGUCCCUAUCUGCCGUGGGCGCUGGAGAACUGAGGGGGGCUGCUCCUAGUACGAGAGGACCGGAGUGGACGCAUCACUGGUGUUCGGGUUGUCAUGCCAAUGGCACUGCCCGGUAGCUAAAUGCGGAAGAGAUAAGUGCUGAAAGCAUCUAAGCACGAAACUUGCCCCGAGAUGAGUUCUCCCUGACCCUUUAAGGGUCCUGAAGGAACGUUGAAGACGACGACGUUGAUAGGCCGGGUGUGUAAGCGCAGCGAUGCGUUGAGCUAACCGGUACUAAUGAACCGUGAGGCUUAACCUU